rnacentral:rRNA from 1 species
CCUACGGGUGGCUGCAGUGGGGAAUAUUGGACAAUGGGCGAAAGCCUGAUCCAGCCAUGCCGCGUGUGUGAAGAAGGCCUUCGGGUUGUAAAGCACUUUCAGUGGGGAAGAAAGCCUUGGGGCUAAUACCCUCGAGGAAGGACAUCACCCACAGAAGAAGCACCGGCUAACUCCGUGCCAGCAGCCGCGGUAAUACGGAGGGUGCGAGCGUUAAUCGGAAUUACUGGGCGUAAAGCGCGCGUAGGCGGUCUGAUAAGCCGGUUGUGAAAGCCCCGGGCUCAACCUGGGAACGGCAUCCGGAUCUGUCAGGCUAGAGUGCAGGAGAGGAAGGUAGAAUUCCCGGUGUAGCGGUGAAAUGCGUAGAGAUCGGGAGGAAUACCAGUGGCGAAGGCGGCCUUCUGGACUGACACUGACGCUGAGGUGCGAAAGCGUGGGUAGCAAACAGGAUUAGAUACCCGGGUAGUC